UACGAGGGGGGCGAGCGUUGUUCGGAAUUAUUGGGCGUAAAGGGUGCGUAGGCGGUUUGGUAAGUCUUAUGUGAAAUCUACAGGCUCAACUUGUAGUCUGCAUGAGAAGCUGCCGGGCUUGAGUAUGGGAGAGGUGAGUGGAAUUCCUGGUGUAGCGGUGAAAUGCGUAGAUAUCAGGAGGAACACCUGUGGCGAAAGCGGCUCACUGGACCAUAACUGACGCUGAGGCACGAAAGCGUGGGGAGCAAACAGG
rnacentral:rRNA from 1 species